rnacentral:rRNA from 1 species
CCUACGGGUGGCAGCAGUGAGGAAUAUUGGUCAAUGGACGAGAGUCUGAACCAGCCAAGUAGCGUGAAGGAUGACUGCCCUAUGGGUUGUAAACUUCUUUUAUAAAGGAAUAAAACGAGGCACGUGUGCCUUUUUGCAUGUACUUUAUGAAUAAGGAUCGGCUAACUCCGUGCCAGCAGCCGCGGUAAUACGGAGGAUCCGAGCGUUAUCCGGAUUUAUUGGGUUUAAAGGGAGCGUAGAUGGGUUGUUAAGUCAGUUGUGAAAGUUUGCGGCUCAACCGUAAAAUUGCAAUUGAUACUGGCAGUCUUGAGUACAGUUGAGGUAGGCGGAAUUCGUGGUGUAGCGGUGAAAUGCUUAGAUAUCAUGAAGAACUCCGAUCGCGAAGGCAAGUGUCCGGGGUGCAACUGACGCUGAGGCUCGAAAGUGCGGGUAUCAAACAGGAUUAGAUACCCGAGUAGUC